GAUGAACGCUAGCGGCAGGCCUAAUACAUGCAAGUCGAGGGAGAAUGUUGGAUUCGUCUGACAUGAAACCGGCGCACGGGUGCGUAACACGUAUGCACCCUACCUUUAACUGGGGUAUAGCUCAGAGAAAUCUGAAUUAAUCCCCCAUAAGACUACGACAUGGCAUCAUGAUGUAGUUAAAGCUCCGGCGGUUAAGGAUGGGCAUGCGGUACAUUAGCUAGUUGGUGAGGUAAUGGCUCACCAAGGCUACGAUGUAUAGGGGGUCUGAGAGGAUGAUCCCCCACACUGGUACUGAGACACGGACCAGACUCCUACGGGAGGAAGCAGUAGGGAAUAUUGGUCAAUGGACGCAAGUCUGAACCAGCCAUGCCGCGUGAAGGAUGAAGGCCCUAUGGGUCGUAAACUUCUUUUAUUAGGGAAGAAAAAACGGGAUGCGUCCUGUACUGACGGUACUUAAUGAAUAAGGAUCGGCUAACUUCGUGCCAGCAGCCGCGGUAA
rnacentral:rRNA from 1 species